CCUACGGGUGGCAGCAGUGGGGGAUAUUGCACAAUGGGGGGAACCCUGAUGCAGCGACGCCGCGUGGGUGAAGAAGCGCCUCGGCGCGUAAAGCCCUGUCAGUAGGGACGAAAAUGACGGUACCUGAAGACGAAGCCCCGGCUAACUACGUGCCAGCAGCCGCGGUAAUACGUAGGGGGCAAGCGUUAUCCGGAUUUACUGGGUGUAAAGGGGGCGCAGACGGCGAUGCAAGCCAGGAGUGAAAGCCCGGGGACCAACCCCCGGACUGCGCUUGGAACUGCGUGGCUGGAGUGCAGGAGGGGCAGGCGGAAUUCCUGGUGUAGCGGUGAAAUGCGUAGAUAGCAGGAGGAACACCGGUGGCGAAGGCGGCCUGCUGGACUGCAACUGACGUUGAGGCCCGAAAGCGUGGGGAGCAAACAGGAUUAGAUACCCCAGUAGUC
rnacentral:rRNA from 1 species